CCUACGGGAGGCAGCAGUAGGGAAUCUUCCGCAAUGGACGAAAGUCUGACGGAGCAACGCCGCGUGAGUGAUGAAGGUUUUCGGAUCGUAAAACUCUGUUGUCAGGGAAGAACAAGUGCCGGAGUAACUGCCGGCGCCUUGACGGUACCUGACCAGAAAGCCACGGCUAACUACGUGCCAGCAGCCGCGGUAAUACGUAGGUGGCAAGCGUUGUCCGGAAUUAUUGGGCGUAAAGCGCGCGCAGGCGGUUUCUUAAGUCUGAUGUGAAAGCCCCCGGCUCAACCGGGGAGGGUCAUUGGAAACUGGGAAACUUGAGUGCAGAAGAGGAGAGUGGAAUUCCACGUGUAGCGGUGAAAUGCGUAGAGAUGUGGAGGAACACCAGUGGCGAAGGCGACUCUCUGGUCUGUAACUGACGCUGAGGCGCGAAAGCGUGGGGAGCGAACAGGAUUAGAUACCCUGGUAGUCCACGCCGUAAACGAUGAGUGCUAAGUGUUAGAGGGUUUCCGCCCUUUAGUGCUGCAGCUAACGCAUUAAGCACUCCGCCUGGGGAGUACGGUCGCAAGACUGAAACUCAAAGGAAUUGACGG
rnacentral:rRNA from 1 species